rnacentral:rRNA from 1 species
AGCCUCAGGAUAAACUUGAUCUGAGGUUAAACCUGCCCAAUGUUAUAUUUUAUGAAUGGCCGCGGUACUUUGACCGUGCUAAGGUAGCGCAAUCAAUUGGCUUUUAAUUGAGGCCAUGUAUGAAUGGAAUCACGGGGUUUAGCUGUCUCUUAGUUAAUUUAUCGAAAUUACUAUUUAGGUGAAAAAGCCUAAGAAAAGAAAAAGGACGAGAAGACCCUUAGAGUUUUUCUAAAAUCAGGAUUGUUCCUGAAAAAGUUUAGUUGGGGCAACAUAGGAGCAUUAAAAACCUCCUGUAAAAUACUUACCGAUUUUAAUAAAUGUGAAUAAACUACCUUAGGGAUAACAGCAUAAUUUUAUAAAUAAGUUUGUGACCUCGAUGUUGGACUAGGAAACUGAGAGGCUAGCCGCCUCUUAGGAAAGUUCUGUUCGAACUAUUAUUCCU